rnacentral:rRNA from 1 species
GACGAACGCUGGCGGCGUGCUUAACACAUGCAAGUCGAACGGUAAGGCCCCAGCUUGCUGGGGUACACGAGUGGCGAACGGGUGAGUAACACGUGGGUGACCUGCCCCGCACUUCGGGAUAAGCCUUGGAAACUGGGUAUAAUACAGGAUAGGACCGCACCGUGAGGGUGUGGUGGAAAGUUUUUCGGUGUGGGAUGGGCCCGCGGCCUAUAAGCUCGUUGGUGGGGUAAUGGCCUACCAAGGCGGCGACGGGUAGCCGGCCUGAGAGGGUGGACGGCCACAUUGGGACUGAGACACGGCCCAGACUCCUACGGGAGGCAGCAGUGGGGAAUAUUGCACAAUGGGCGGAAGCCUGAUGCAGCGACGCCGCGUGGGGGAUGACGGCCUUCGGGUUGUAAACUCCUUUCACCAUCGACGAAGGUUUUCUGACGGUAGAUGGAGAAGAAGCACCGGCUAACUACGUG